rnacentral:rRNA from 1 species
AGACGUCUACAUUAGACUACCCGGGUAGUCCCAGCCGUAAACUAUGCUCGCUAGGUGUCAGGCAUGGCGCGACCGUGUCUGGUGCCGCAGGGAAGCCGUGAAGCGAGCCACCUGGGAAGUACGGCCGCAAGGCUGAAACUUAAAGGAAUUGGCGGGGGAGCACAACAACGGGUGGAGCCUGCGGUUUAAUUGGACUCAACGCCGGACAACUCACCGGGGACGACAGCAAUAUGUAGGCCAGGCUGAAGACCUUGCCUGAAUCGCUG